UGAGGAAUAUUGGUCAAUGGGCGAGAGCCUGAACCAGCCAAGUAGCGUGCAGGAAGACGGCCCUAUGGGUUGUAAACUGCUUUUAUGUGGGGAUAAAGUGCGUGACGUGUCAUGCAUUGCAGGUACCACAUGAAUAAGGACCGGCUAAUUCCGUGCCAGCAGCCGCGGUAAUACGGAAGGUCCGGGCGUUAUCCGGAUUUAUUGGGUUUAAAGGGAGCGUAGGCUGUCUAUUAAGCGUGUUGUGAAAUAUACCGGCUCAACCGGUGGCUUGCAGCGCGAACUGGUCGACUGGAGUAUGCAGGAAGUAGGCGGAAUUCAUGGUGUAGCGGUGAAAUGCUUAGAUAUCAUGACGAACUCCGAUUGCGCAGGCAGCUUACUGUAGCAAAACUGACGCUGAUGCUCGAAAGUGCGGGUAUCAAACAGG
rnacentral:rRNA from 1 species